rnacentral:rRNA from 1 species
UGCAGUCGAACGGGAUUUGAGUAGCAAUACUUAAUGAGAGUGGCGCACGGGUGCGUAACGCGUAUGCAACCUACCUUUAACAGGGGGAUAGCUCCGAGAAAUCGGGAUUAAUACCCCAUAGUAUUAUUGAUUGGCAUCGAUUAAUAAUUAAAGCUCCGGCGGUUAAAGAUGGGCAUGCGUGCCAUUAGCUAGUUGGUGAGGUAAAGGCUCACCAAGGCGAUGAUGGCUAGGGGUUCUGAGAGGAUUAUCCCCCACACUGGUACUGAGACACGGACCAGACUCCUACGGGAGGCAGCAGUAAGGAAUAUUGGGCAAUGGACGCAAGUCUGACCCAGCCAUGCCGCGUGCAGGAAGACGGCCCUAUGGGUUGUAAACUGCUUUUAUCAGGGAAUAACCCCCCGGAUGUAUCCGGGGCUGAAUGUACCUGAAGAAUAAGCAUCGGCUAA